UCUUCAGCUCUGCUUGCCCGAUAUCGUGACCUAAGCAGGGUCGGGCCUGGUCAGUACUUGGAUGGGAGACCGCCUGGGAAAACCAGGUGCUGUAAGCU
ensembl:rRNA 5S_rRNA 5S ribosomal RNA